rnacentral:ncRNA from 1 species
CAAAGGCUUGGUCCUGACUUUACUAUCUACUCUAGCUAAACUUACACAUGCAAGUAUCCGCAUCCCCGUGAGAAUGCCCUACAGUUCCCCGCACGGAACAAGGAGCUGGUAUCAGGCACAUCCCUACAAGCCCACGACACCUUGCUUAGCCACACCCCCAAGGGAACUCAGCAGUGAUAAACAUUAAGCCAUAAGUGAAAACUUGACUUAGUUAAAGCUAAGAGGGCCGGUAAAACUCGUGCCAGCCACCGCGGUUAUACGAGAGGCCCAAGUUGAUAGACAUCGGCGUAAAGCGUGGUUAGGACUUUUAUUAAACUAAAGCCGAACACCUUCAGAGCUGUUAUACGCACCCGAAGGUAAGAAGUUCAACCACGAAAGUGCUUUACAGCCCCGAACCCACGAAAGCUACGACACAAACUGGGAUUAGAUACCCCACUAUGCCUAGCCGUAAACAUUGGUAGUAACUACACCCGCUACCCGCCCGGGUACUACGAGCAUCAGCUUGAAACCCAAAGGACUUGGCGGUGCUUUAGAUCCACCUAGAGGAGCCUGUUCUAGAACCGAUAACCCCCGUUCAACCUCACCUCCCCUUGUUUAACCCGCCUAUAUACCGCCGUCGUCAGCUUACCCUGUGAAGGUCAAAUAGUAAGCAAAAUUGGUACAACCUAAAACGUCAGGUCGAGGUGUAGCGUAUGAGGAGGGAAGAAAUGGGCUACAUUUCCUACUAAAGGAAACACGAAUGAUGCACUGAAACGUUCAUCUGAAGGAGGAUUUAGCAGUAAGCAGGAAAUAGAGCGUCCCGCUGAAACUGGCCCUGAAGCGCGCACACACCGCCCGUCACUCUCCCCAAGCUUACAAACUAAAGUAAUUAAAACCUUACAAUCGCGAAGGGGAGGCAAGUCGUAACAUGGUAAGUGUACCGGAAGGUGCACUUGGAAAAAU